rnacentral:rRNA from 1 species
CCACGCUGUAAACGGUGGGUACUAGGUGUGGGGUCCAUUCCACGGGUUCCGUGCCGUAGCUAACGCUUUAAGUACCCCGCCUGGGGAGUACGGCCGCAAGGCUAAAACUCAAAGGAAUUGACGGGGCCCCGCACAAGCGGCGGAGCAUGCGGAUUAAUUCGAUGCAACGCGUAGAACCUUACCUGGGUUUGACAUGGAUCGGGAGUGCUCAGAGAUGGGUGUGCCUCUUUUGGGGUCGGUUCACAGGUGGUGCAUGGCUGU